AUCGAGUCCCAAAUAGGACGAAAUGUGCGUCCUGGAU
rfam:Schistosoma curassoni strain Dakar, Senegal genome assembly, scaffold: SCTD_scaffold0016705